UACAGAGGUCCCGAGCGUUGUUCGGAUUCACUGGGCGUAAAGGGUGCGUAGGUGGUGAGGAAAGUCGGAUGUGAAAUCUCCAAGCUCAACUUGGAAAUGGCAUUGGAAACUACCUUGCUGGAGGUUUGGAGGGGGGACUGGAAUACUUGGUGUAGCAGUGAAAUGCGUAGAUAUCAAGUGGAACACCAGUGGGGAAGGCGAGUCCCUGGACAACACCUGACACUGAGGCACGAAAGCUAGGGGAGCAAACAGG
rnacentral:rRNA from 1 species